CCUGGCUCAGGACGAACGCUGGCGGCGCGCCUAACACAUGCAAGUCGAACGAGCGAGAGAGAGCUUGCUUUCUCGAGCGAGUGGCGAACGGGUGAGUAACGCGUGAGGAACCUGCCUCAAAGAGGGGGACAACAGUUGGAAACGACUGCUAAUACCGCAUAAGCCCACGACCCGGCAUCGGGUAGAGGGAAAAGGAGCGAUCCGCUUUGAGAUGGCCUCGCGUCCGAUUAGCUAGUUGGUGAGGUAACGGCCCACCAAGGCGACGAUCGGUAGCCGGACUGAGAGGUUGAACGGCCACAUUGGGACUGAGACACGGCCCAGACUCCUACGGGAGGCAGCAGUGGGGAAUAUUGCACAAUGGGGGAAACCCUGAUGCAGCGACGCCGCGUGGAGGAAGAAGGUCUUCGGAUUGUAAACUCCUGUUGUUGAGAAGAUAAUGACGGUACUCAACAAGGAAGUGACGGCUAACUACGUGCCAGCAGCCGCGGUAAAACGUAGGUCACAAGCGUUGUCCGGAAUUACUGGGUGUAAAGGGAGCGCAGGCGGGAAGACAAGUUGGAAGUGAAAUCCAUGGGCUCAACCCAUGAACUGCUUUCAAAACUGUUUUUCUUGAGUAGUGCAGAGGUAGGCGGAAUUCCCGGUGUAGCGGUGGAAUGCGUAGAUAUCGGGAGGAACCCAGUGGCGAAGGCGGCCUACUGGGCACCAACUGACGCUGAGGCUCGAAAGUGUGGGUAGCAAACAGGAUUAGAUACCCUGGUAGUCCACACUGUAAACGAUGAUUACUAGGUGUUGGAGGAUUGACCCCUUCAGUGCCGCAGUUAACACAAUAAGUAAUCCACCUGGGGAGUACGACCGCAAGGUUGAAACUCAAAGGAAUUGACGGGGGCCCGCACAAGCAGUGGAGUAUGUGGUUUAAUUCGACGCAACGCGAAGAACCUUACCAAGUCUUGACAUCCUGCGACGCACAUAGAAAUAUGUGUUUCCUUCGGGACGCAGAGACAGGUGGUGCAUGGUUGUCGUCAGCUCGUGUCGUGAGAUGUUGGGUUAAGUCCCGCAACGAGCGCAACCCUUAUGGUCAGUUACUACGCAAGAGGACUCUGGCCAGACUGCCGUUGACAAAACGGAGGAAGGUGGGGAUGACGUCAAAUCAUCAUGCCCUUUAUGACUUGGGCUACACACGUACUACAAUGGCGUUAAACAAAGAGAAGCAAGACCGCGAGGUGGAGCAAAACUCAGAAACAACGUCCCAGUUCGGACUGCAGGCUGCAACUCGCCUGCACGAAGUCGGAAUUGCUAGUAAUCGCAGAUCAGCAUGCUGCGGUGAAUACGUUCCCGGGCCUUGUACACACCGCCCG
rnacentral:rRNA from 1 species